AGGGCGGACCUGCGUGUUGCUAACACGCUACCCCCAGA
rnacentral:tRNA from 1 species